UGCUUUUUUGCUGACUACCGGCGAACGGGUGCGUAACGCGGAGUAAAUCUGCCUUGUAUGCGAUGAUAGCCUUUAUAAAUGAUGAUUAAUACUCCAUAAUGUUGUGAACUGGCAUCAGUUUAUAAUUAAAGAUUUUUCGGCCCCACAUGACUAGACUUCCUAUUAGGUAAUUGGGUAGGGUAGCGGGGUAAAGGUGGCACACAAUAGGUAGGGGGUCUGAGAGGAUUAUCCCCCAUCCUGGUACUGAGACCUGGACCACACUCCUA
rnacentral:rRNA from 1 species